rnacentral:lncRNA from 11 species
GGAUUAUCCAAGGCAUUUUUGUAGUCAAUGUUUUCAAUAUAUCGUGAUAUUUUGGUGCUAAAUUCGUAAAUACAGUAAUUACAACAUAACAUUACUGCAUAUUGAACUACUUUUUCUGUCAAAUUUUUUGUAUAACAUGAUGUUUUGGUGCUUAAUUUGAUGUUUAAUAGGCUUUUCCUUAAUCCCUCCUUAUUAUUUCAAGAUAAUUCGCUUAUCCAAGGUUCUACCGGCCCGUUUAGCUUGGAUAAGUGAGACUCUACUGUAAUAAUAUUAAUAAUAAUAAUAAUAAUAAUAAUAAUAACACAGUCCUAGACACUUGGGAAGUGUCCGACGUGCGAUCCAAUACAACAGUCUGCUGUGGACUCAUCUUGUUGUGUUUCAAAUAAUAAUAAUAAUAAUAAUAAUCUUUAUUUAUAUCUCUCUUUUCUCCCUCAUGGGACCCAAAGAGGCUGACAAUAUAUUAUAAUCACAUAAACAACAAUCAGAGUACAUCAAUAAUAUAAGCAUAAUAGGAUAAACUGUCACUGUGUCUCAACAAUUAGUCCCAAUAAGGAGCAGGUUUCUCUUCCGUGACGCUCCCUUUUGUCGUUCCAGGCGAAGCGUUGUGCAGGAACAUCUACAAAAUCCCGCUCAGCAACCUGGUUGGCAGGAGCAUCGAGCGCCCGUUGAAGUCGCCUAUGGUCCCCAAAGUCAUCGCCGCCCCGACUUCUACUGCCAUCGGCAUCCCGGUGGCGCCGUCCCUCCCCAUGUCGCGCAUCGAGAUCAAAGAGAUUGCGAGCCGGACGCGCAAAGAACUACUCGGCCUCCUUGGGGAGUCUGCCUCAAAGACGGAAGGAGGGCAGAAACAGAAGAAAGUCCCUCCAAAACAGUCGGAACCCAAGCAGGGGACCCAAGUACGAUCAACAAGCAGUGACAGGUACGUCUGGAGGAGUGUUGAACGAUUACUAGCAUAUAUAUGUGGCGUUGGCCAGGUUUGCAUUUUGUUUGCGGCUCUUCCUUUUCUUCCCUCUCUUUCCCUUCCUUCUUCUUAUUUCUUCCGUCUCCUAAUGGUGGAGGGAAGCCAUUAUUUACAGAGGACAGGCAGCCUUUUUGGCUUUGCUUUGCUUCCGUGCACUGAACAUGAAACUGACUUUGGGAGGCUUCCCAGGUUUGCAUUUUGUUUGCGGUUCUUUCUUUGCUUCCCUCUCUUUCCCUUCCUUCUUAUUAUUUCCUCCCUCUCCUUCCUUCUCCUAAUAGUGGAGGGAAGCCAUCAUUUAAAGAGGGCAGGCAGCCUUUUUGGCUUUGCUUUGCUUCCUUGCGCUGAUCAUCAAACUGACUUUGGGAGGCUUCCCAGGUUUGCAUUUUGUUUGUGGCUCUUUUCUUCCCUCUCUUUCCUUUCCUUCUUAUUUCUUCCCUCUUUCCUCCCUGCUUCCUUUUCCUCACGGCAAGAGGGUCAUUCAUUUAAAGAGGACAGGCAGCCUUUUUGGAUUUGCUUUGCUUCCUUGUACUGAACCUGAGACUGACUUUGGGAGGCUUCCCAGGUUUGCAUUUUGUUUGUGGCUCUUUUCUUCCCUCUCUUUCCUUUCCUUCUUAUUUCUUCCCUCUUUCCUCCCUGCUUCCUUUUCCUCACGGCAAGAGGGUCAUUCAUUUAAAGAGGACAGGCAGCCUUUUUGGCUUUGCUUUGCUUCCUUGUGCUGAACCUGAAACUGACUUUGGGAGGCUUCCCAGGUUUGCAUUUUGUUUGCAGCUCUUUUCUUCCCUCUCUUUCCUUUCCUUCUUAUUAUUUCUUCCCUCCUUCCUCCCUGCUGCUUCCCUCUCCUCACAACAAGAGGGUCAUUCAUUUAAAGAGGACAGGCACCCUUUUUGGCUUUGCUUUGCUUCCUUGCGCUGAACGUGAAACUGACUUCUGAGGUUUACAAAAUGCAAAGUAUUGUGUAACAACAAUUUAUUGAUUAGCCAGUUGGCCUUAUCAAGCACAGACAUACAAACAUGAAAUACAACAUACAUCUGGUACACUUGAAAUAAAAUAAAAAUAUACAGGUAUUUGCCAGCUUGGUGUCAAUGUAGCUUAGCCAUAGAUGUAUGCAUCAACUAUCCUCAUCUCCCCUACACUGCACCCCAAUCUGAUCUAUGGACUCCGAUCUCCUUUUAGCAGCUUUAAGCAAAUACAGGGCCACUUUUGUUGUCACAUUGGGGUUAUAACCGGCCAAUAAAAAUGUAGUUUUGGCUGCUAUGUCCCAGCUUGUUUUAUUACAAAUAAAAGGCCAUAAGUAUUGUUUCUUUUCUUUUUCGUAUAAGUUACAAUUAUGCAAAGUGUGGUUCAAAUUUUCAACUUCAGGGGCGCCACAAAUACAUAAUCUUUCUUCAUAUGGGAUGUGGUUGAAUCUGCCAUAUCUCUCCAUGGACUCCCUUUGUUCGAAUCUUGCCCUGGUGAACGCGAUUCUUAGGUGUCUUGGCAUAUCUGCUUUUAGGUAUAACGCCCGCUGGAAAUUACGUUUAAAACGUCCUAACCACUCCAGAGAUCCUGUGUUUGACAGGGUGGCUAUGUCUUUCUGGGCAGAAAGUAUUGUGUAAGUUUAGAUUCUUAAGUUUUUGAUCCGUGCGUCGGAUAUCGCCUCGUGAGUAUGAAUGCAACAAAUUUUAUCUGACCUACGACAACUUACGAAUAAAUUGAACAUCCCUAAUACCUAUUGGGGCCUGCUUGAAAAUCUAUGUGCAGUUACAACGCUCUCUCUGCUUCCAGGAUCGCUGCAAGUUCCCUGGAGAGCGGAUCCGACGGCGGGCCCUUCUCGCCCAGUUCAGAGCCCGACUCCGGGCCCCAGGGCCAGAGCACCCCCCCUCCCGGGAGCCCCCCCUUCCAACUCGGGGCCUCAUUCGAGGACGAAGACGACAUCGACUUGAAAUGACGUCCGCAGGUUGCUCCUCUGCCUUCCUUCCCUUCCUUCCCCGUUCUCCUCUUUGGGACAAUCAUGCUUUGCUUUCUAGAGAAGACUCUGGGAGGGCUCGGCGUGUCGAAUCCUAUUAAUAUUGGAGUUGGGGAGGGGGAGCGGGGCAGGCGAUAUGUGGGUCAUCCAGGAGUAUUGCUGCCGUCCAGCAAAGGCUCCUCUUUGGCUCAAGUGCGUUUCAACCCAUCCCUGUUUGGAAUAACACCGCAAGAGAUGUGAGACCAGAGAAACGAACCGAAUGAUCUGAGAAAGGCGGAAAGGCCAUUGGAUGUCUCUGCGAUGCGCUGCACUGAUGUGCUUCAAGAAGCAAGAGGGACGUAGCCAAGGAGGAGACCAGAAGGUCCAAAGGAAUGGCCUGGCUUUAGGUGACAAGCGCUGCCAUUUCCUCCUCUCCUAGAUAUCCUUUCCGUUUGUUGAUGGUGGAUGGAUAUGUUGGAUAUCUUUGGAGAGGGGUUACAAUGGUACAGCUUUUAUUAAGACUCAACUAUAGGUUUUAUUAAGGUCCGACGAUGGGUUUUAUUAAGGUCCGACGAUGGGUUUUAUUAAGGUUUGACGAUGGGUUUUAUUAAGGCCUGAUGAUGGGUUUUAUUAAGGCCCGAUAUGGGUUUUAUUAAAGCCCGAUAUGGGUUUUAUUAAGGCCCGAUAUGGGUUUUAUUAAAGCCCGAUAUGGGUUUUAUUAAGGCUGAACUAUGGGUUUCAUUAAGUUUCAAUGAUGGGUUUUAUUAAGGCCCGAUAUGGGUUUUAUUAAAGCCCGAUAUGGGUUUUAUUAAGGCCGAACUAUGGGUUUCAUUAAGUUUCAAUGAUGGAUUUUAUUAAGGUCCGACUAUGGGUUUUAUUAAGGCCAGUCAUGGGUUUUAUUAAGAUUCGAUCAUGGGUUUUAUUAAGGCCCAGCGAUGGGUUUUAUUAAGGUCCAAUUAUGGGUUUUAUUAAGGCCAAAUAAGGAUUUCGUUAAGGUUUGACGAUGGGUUUUAUUAAGGUUUGACGAUGGGUUUUACUAAGGCCAGAUACAGGCUUUAUUAAGAUCCGACUAUGGGUUUUGUUAAGGUCCGACGAUGGGUUUCAUCAAGGUGUGAUGAUGGCUUGUAUUAAGGUCUGCCUAUUAGUUUCGUUAAGGUCUGACUGUGUGUUUCAUGGAGAGGCCUUCCUAUGGGUUUUCUAAGAAGGAUCGAACCCAGUGCCGGACGAGACAAGACUCUGGUCCCUUUGACUCUUAACGUGGGUUUAAAGAAUAACUUUGCAAACACGCAGAUGCCCAACAACUGUUGGGCACCUUCUCUGUCGGUCACUCUGCCGACGAAUCAAAUUAAGGUAGCAUUCCAUUACAAUAACUUACUGUCUUUCUAUCGACUGUAGCAGAUCUCCAGUAGCAGUUUUCUUAAACCGAAGCCUUUUUCCUCCCCAAAUCCAUACUCAUUUCCCUCUGUCUGAAUGGCACAGGUUGGUGUUAAUGGUUCCAAUGCUUCCUAAUCACUUUAGGCACACGGGGAUGUUUAUACAGCAAGGUCGUUGUGUUUCCCCAUUGCAUUUCCCCCAAAAAAGGUGCAUUAUUUACGUGGCUUUGGCCUAUUGAGCUUCCCUCUUCUUGGUCCUGUGACUGUUAAUCCACAGCUGGUCUCUCUUGAGCUAUUUUCCUUUCUCUCGCACUUUUUCCAUUUUUUUUUGCCUUGAAUAGUUUUGUUAUUGGUGAAAAGCUGGCCCAGAAAGAGGGGAAGCUGAGGUGCUCUCUGUCUACUUGCAGUGAUUCCACACGGUACCGACCGAUCGGUCACGCUAAGCCUCAAAGCCUCUUGCCCAUUUCGCCACGGAGCCAGGGUUAUCCACGGGACCGUUUCAAAUGAUUGUAUUAUUAUAAACUUCACAUAUCCAGGUCGCUUUACUUUUUCGAGCAGUUCUGUCCUGCUUUUUCUGGGAUAUGCCCCUUGUAUUCAUGUUUGUCAGAUGGCUUCGACGGCCAUAA